rnacentral:pre_miRNA from 1 species
GAUGGAAGAGUCCAGAGGAACUCUUGCUGUGAUGUGUCAUCGUCAUCAUUCAUAUCACAGCAGUAGUUACCUGGGAUUCUUUCAUC